rfam:Angiostrongylus costaricensis strain Costa Rica genome assembly, scaffold: ACOC_contig0003731
GGGGGUAUAGCUCAGCGGUAGAGCGCUCGCUUAGCAUGCGAGAAGCCUGGGGUUCGAUUCCCCAUACCUCCA